UACGUAGGGUGCGAGCGUUAAUCGGAAUUACUGGGCGUAAAGCGUGCGCAGGCGGUCUGUUAAGACCGAUGUGAAAUCCCCCGGGCUUAACCUGGGAACUGCAUUGGUGACUGGCAGGCUUUGAGUGUGGCAGAGGGGGGUGGAAUUCCACGUGUAGCAGUGAAAUGCGUAGAGAUGUGGAGGAACACCGAUGGCGAAGGCAGCCCCCCUGGGCUAACACUGACGCUCAUGCACGAAAGCGUGGGGAGCAAACAGG
rnacentral:rRNA from 1 species